GGGGGGGGGGGGGGGGGGGGGGGGGGGGUGCGGGGCGGGCGAGGGGGGGCGGGGUGUGGUGGCGCGCGGGGGCGUGAGGCGUGGGGAUCUGCCCGUGGGUGCGGGAUGGCAGUUAGGAAUGACUGCUCGUACCGGCUGAUGACGUUGCGUCCAAAGAGUUAUCGCCUGAGGAUGAGCCCGCGUAGGAUUAGCUAGUUGGUGUGGUAAAGGCGCACCAAUGCGACGAUCCUUAGCUGGUCUGAGAGGAUGAUCAGCCACACUGGGACUGAGACACGGCCCAGACUCCUACGGGAGGCAGCAGUGGGGAAUAUUGGACAAUGGGCGCAAGCCUGAUCCAGCAAUGCCGCGUGAGUGAUGAAGGCCUUAGGGUUGUAAAGCUCUUUUACCCGGGAUGAUAAUGACAGUACCGGGAGAAUAAGCCCCGGCUAACUCCGUG
rnacentral:rRNA from 1 species